rnacentral:sRNA from 1 species
UAAAAAUAACAACGUCAGCAGGCUUUACCUCGUGUCAUUCGAUCCUUGAUAUGGACGAGGUCA